CUAGUCUUUGGACUGAGAACUUGGCUCAUUGCCCUCAGGGCUGUGCUGGUAGAAAGGGAUUGAUGGUUUUCACACAAUCCAGUCCUACUGUGCCGGGAAAAAUACAAAAGAACUCAGACUGGACAAGUUUUUGAUGUGUUUUCUGGUAAUUGAAAAACUCUCUUAAAGGCUCCUUCAGCCCAAGUGCAUCUGGGAACUCCAAGUUAGUGCAUCUGAAGUGGCCACUGCAUAACUGAAAGAGAACCACUGCUCCUGAAAUUUCUCUGUCAGCCAUCAUGAACCAGUUAUGAAGCUACUUGCAGUACCUUGAACACACUCUGCUGUCCCUUGCCUGUGAGAACUGCCUGCAUACUCUUCCCCUUGGAACAUUCCAGCAUAGGUAUAUGCAUAGACAAGGAGAAAUUAAGAGAACUGGAAGAUAUAGAGGAAGAAAGACAGAGGGACACCUGCAGAUCUGAUUCUACCACUCAUGAACUCCUCACACCCCAGG